UUUUCCCGAAUGAAGAAGAGCUAACCUUAUAUAUGUAUUAGCUUUAUGUUUAUUAAUGUUAAAUGUAUUAUGCUUAUAUAUACGGUUAGGGGCGAAACACCUUCAAUUCCUUUAAUAUCUGGUUCCUAAGGAAAUGCAUUUAGUGCAGAAAAGAGUUUGAGCUAAGAGGCGCUAAGGUCUUCUAGAAGCUUAAAUAUAGGUCAACUUUUCCCUUUGGGAUAAAACCCUCAAGGUUAAAGAGUUACAAAUUUUUAUUUUAUUAUUAAGUAUUUAUAUUUAGGGUCCCUUAGCAAUAGCUGUAAGGAUACACUAUGUUUAAAUUAGUAUUAUUAGAAAUCCCCUAUAAGGAACUCGGCAAAUUUACUUUUCGUCUGUUUAUCAAAAACAUUGUCUGUUGUAAUAAUAAUAGGUCUUAUCUGCCCAGUGUAUUAUUAUUAACGGCCGCAGUACCCUGACUGUGCUAAGGUAGCAUAAUAAAUUGGCUCUUAAUUAGGGUCUUGAAUGAAGGAGAGCACGAAGAUUUACUGUCUCCCUGGGGAUAAUUAGAAGUUCCUACAUGAGGUGAAAAUUCCUUUAAGAAAGUCUAUUAGACAAGAAGACCCUUAGAGCUUUUAAUAGACAGGUUUACUUAUAUAUUAAUUCUGGCUUUUUUGUUGGGGCGACAAGGUAGCAUAUUAACCUACCUAAUAAAUCUUGACUUGACAGGUUUAUCAUGAGAGAUAAAGCUACCUGAGGGAUAACAGCGCAAUAGAUUACUCUGCUUGCGACCUCGAUGUUGGAUUAGGUGUUAAGAUUUCUAAAAGAUUUCUUAAUUAGUUCUGUUCGAACAUUACAAACCUACAUGAUCUGAGUUCAGACCGGCGUAAGC
rnacentral:rRNA from 1 species